UACACAUACACAAAAAAAAUGGGUAUUUCUGUCUGUCAUUCCGCGCUACAUUUUUUUUCCUUUUACGGAAGGUUUUUUGUAGAGAAUAAAUGAAAAAACACGUAAUUGAACGGUUUAAAAGAGGAGAAAACACGAAAAAAUAAAAAUUUGAAACAUAGUUUAUCUUUGAUUUCGACUCUUUAAAAUUCAAAAUUCAACCAAAAAAAAAUGAAGAAAACAACUAGCUAAUACGAAUCUUUUUGAAAAAAAAAAAAAAGAAUUUACGCAACAACUGUUGUGUCUUGAGAUUGGAUCCCAAGACGCAGAGACGGGAGGCGGAGUUGAAUCACAAAAGAAGAUUGUCUUUAAUAAGUUCAAAAGGAUAACUCAAGGCAAUGGGGCAAGAGCGCACACCAUGGAAGGGGACUAAACUGAAGGAGGACUCUCGAUGGUCAGCAACAGGUUCAACAAAAACUUCUCUCGCUUACUGGGGAACUAGGGAACAAAAACACCAGAUGUAAGGAAUGGUGAUAAGAAAGGAGAAGGAAGGUACCGAGUUGGUUGGAUGCAAGUUGAGCAUGCGGGCAUGGAAAGCACAGGAGUCAUGAACUGUAGUGAACUUAAAUAGAGCCGAGCAGUGAGUAGUCGCAGGUGUGCCGAGUUGGAACUAAUGGAUGGAGGAAAAAUAACACAAAAGCAAUACGGAGAAGACAGGAAAACAAUACACAACUACAACGUUAGUAAUUUUUCCUGAUUAAGAUUCAUUUUAGAAUUUCGAUGACAUGUUUUAAAUAGGUUAAAAUCCACUUUGAAAUAAAAUUGAAAUUUGAUUCUACAGAUUUUCUAGAUUUGGCAGAAUAAAUUUGGGGAAUUUUAAUCAUAAUAAGUUUGAAGAAAUAUUUCACAAAUAUUCUUCGUCGAAAAAACAGAAUAUAAAUGAAGAAUUAAAUUAAAAUGUAUUUAUUCUUUACAAUAAAAAAAAAAUACUUGAACAUUGAUUUAAAGACCUACUGAAAUGAGAUGUUUUUAUUUAAACGGGGAUAGCAGCUCCAUUCUAUGUGUCAUACUUCAUCAUUUCCCCAUAUUGCCAUAUUUUUGCUGAAAGGAUUUAGUAGAGAACAUCCACGAUAAAGUUUGCAACUUUUGGUCACUAAUAAAAAAGGCUUGCCUGUACCGGAAGUCGCAGACAAUGAUGUCACAUGUUUGAUGGCUCCUCACAUAGUCACAUUGUUUUUAAUGGGAGCCUCCAACAAAAAGUGCUAUUUGGACCAAUUUCCCCAUUAAUUUGAGCGAGGAUGAAAGAUUUGUGUUUGAGGAUAUUGAUACGACGGACUAGAAAAAAAAAAAAAAAAAAAACGUGAUUGCAUUGGGACAGAUUCAUAUGUUUUUAGACACAUUUACUAGGAUAAUUCUGGGAAAUCCCUUAUCUUUCUAUUGUGUUGCUAGUGUUUUAGUGAGUUUAAUAGUACCUGAUAGUCAGAAGGAUUUCUCCAUGGGUGUGUUGACGCCAAUGUCUCAGAGGAGUCGACGGCAGCUAUGGACGGCACAAGCUCAGCUGAUCUCCGGGAAGAACUGACACUUUAACACAAUUUUCUCACCGAAACCUGCUGGUUGACAUUCGGUCAGGAUCCAUGUUCGCUUGACAGCUCUGAUCCAUAGUAAAGUUUCCCCUCCGGGAAUUUUAAACAAGAAAUCACUGUGUGUUUGUGUGACUAAAGGCUAAAGCUUCCCAACUCCAUCGUUCUACUUUGACUUCUCCAAUAUUAAUUGAACAAAUUGCAAAAGAUUCAGCAACACAGAUCUCCAAAAUACUGUAUAAUCAUGCCGUUAAAGGGGAACAUCAUCAGCAGACCUAUGUAAGCGUCAAUAUAUACCUUGAUGUUGCAGAAAAAAGACCAUGUAUUUUUUUAACCGAUUUCUGAACUCUAAAUGGGCGAAUUUUGGCAAAUUAAACGCCUUUCUGUUUAUCGCUCUUUUAGCGAUGACGUCAGAACGUGACGUCACCGAGGUAACACACCCACCAUUUUCAUUUUCUACACAUUACAAACACUGAGUCUCAGCUCUGUUAUUUUCCGUUUUUUUGACCAUUUUUUGGAACCUUGGAGACAUCAUGCCUCGUGGGUGUGUUGUCGGAGGGUGUAACAACACUAACAGGGAGGGAUUCAAGUUGCACCACUGGCAAGAAAUCUGCCGCCAGACCCCCAUUGAAUGUGCCAGAGUGUCUCCACAUUUGACCGGCGAUGCUAAGACAGACAUGGCACAGAGAUGUAUGGAUAACCUGCAGAUGCAUUUGCAACCAUUAAGUCAACAAAAUCACAAAGGUGAGUUUUGUUGAUGUUGUUGACUUAUGUGCCAAUCAGACAUAUUUGGUCAUGGCAUGACUGCCAGCUAAUCGAUGCUAACAUGCUACGCUAAUUGAUGCUAACAUGCUAUUUACGCUAGCUGUUUGUACAUUUGAAACUAGAUACCCACAUUUAAUGCGAAACAAACACUUACCAAUCGACGGAUUUAAGUUGCUCCAGUGUCACAAGAUGCGAAAGUCCUGAUCGUUUGGUCCGCACAUUUUACCGGCGAUGCUAAUAAGGCAGCCAUGCUAUGGGUCACUUCAUUAGGUACACCCACGCUAUGGUCGAAUAGCGUCAAUAGCUAUUCGCUCAAUAGCUUCAAUUUCUUCUUUAAUUUUGUUUUCGCUAUCUGCCUCCAUACUCCGACCAUCUGUUUCAAUACAUGCGUAAUCUGUUGAAUCGCUUAAGCCGCUGAAAUCCGAGUCUGAAUCCGAGCUAAUGUCGCUAUAUCUUGCUGUGGUAACCGCCAUGUUGUUUGUAUUGGCAGCACUGUGUGACGUCACAGGGAAAUGGACAGUCACAUCGCAAAUAGCGAAAAUCAAGAACUUUAAAGCUUUUUUUAGGGAUAUUCCGGGAGGUGUAAAAUUGUGAAAAAAAAUUAGAAAAAUAAAACAAGCCACUGGGAACUGAUUUUUAUUUUGUUUAACCCUUCUGAAAUUGUGAUAAUGUUCCCCUUUAAAGCAAACGACUUUUGGCUGCGUGUGUGCGCAGCGCUAAUAUUUCCUAACAGUCCGCGACGUUUUCAACAGGGCACUUCGCGGGAAAUUUAAAAAUGCAAUUUAGUGAACUAAAAAGGCGUAUUGUCAUGUGUUGCAAUGUUAAUAUUUCAUCAUUGAUAUAUAAACUAUCAGACUGCGUGGUCGCUAGUAGUGGCUUUCAGUAGGCCUUUAAAAUGUCAGGAAAGAAUAGGAAGGAAUUUAAAAGGUAAAAAAGGUAUAUAUGUUUAAAAAUCCCUAAAUCAUUUUUAAGGUUGUAAUUUUUCUCUAAAAUUGUCUGAAAGUUAUAAGAAGCAAAGUAAAAAUGUAAUGAAUUUAUUUAAACAAGUAAAGACCAAGUCUUUAAAAUAUUUUCUUGGAUUUUAAAAUUCUAUUUGAGUUUUGUCUCUCUUAGAAUUAAAAAUGUCGAGCAAAGCGAGACCAGCUUGCUAGUAAAUAAAUACAAUUUAAAAAAUAGAGGCAGCUCACUGGUAAGUGCUGCUAUUUGAGCUAUUUUUAGAACAGGCCAGAGGGCGACUCAUCUGGUCCUUACGGGCGACCUGGUGCCAGCGGGCACCGUGUUGGUGACCCCUGGUUUAAACGGUAACUGGAAUACAUUGUGUGGCAUAGAGUUUCUCCAAAUAUAUCCACGCGAUAAGACUUUUACCAAACAAUUUUACCCAAAAAUGUUGCCAAAGUUUUAUGUCUGGGAAGACGUAAUUGAAUUUACAUGAUAUCUUAAAUUAAAAACAUGUUCAAAGACUUUCAACAACAUUUUUACCCAAAAUUUUCCACCAAAGUUGUCAGUCAUGAUCCGUAGUCCGGAUCAUGUUUUGUUUAGUUAUGUUCUGUUAGUUUUGGACUCCCUUAGUUCCUGUUCUGUGCACUUUGGGUGUUAGUUUUGGUUACCAUGGAUGAUAAUUGCUUUCACCUGCCUCUGAUUAGUGCUCUGCAUGUUCACCUGCUGUCGAGCACCAAUCAGAGAACUAUUUAUUCACGUUGCUCGCCACAUUGUGUGCGGUAUGCAACUACCAACUUCAGUGUAUUCUGAUUCGGAUUCCUGUUCUUGAUUCCUGUGUGAUCGGCACGUUUUUCUUUUGUUUGUUCUGUCUUUUUGGUACGUGUUUGAUUUAUGAUUAAUAAAUUAUGUCCUACUUCACGCUGUCCGUUCUUAAUUCCGGGAGAACUAUCCUCAACCCAACCCCCGCAUGUGACCGUUCUCAAAACAUUUUUCCCCAAAAUGUUCUCUCAAAAUGUUCUUGUCAAAGAUUUCCGACAAAAAUCUUGCUAAAAAUGUUCAACAAAAAUGUUCUCCAAAUAUUUACACAACAAAACAAAUGGUAGUUUCAAUCAAAAAUGAGCAUUAUUGUCUCGUAAAGGCGGAAUAUUCAGAAUUGUCUACUGCUUGUCCCUUUUGACCUGGAGAAAAAAACAAACUCAUACUUCCAUCCAUUUUCUACCGCUUAUUCCCUUUGGGGUCAUCCCUAAAACAUCUAAAUGUAACGCUUGGCGGGUGAUGCGGGUUCAUUCUUUCAAGGAUGCAGUCGGGCAAUGGACAUAGCGUAGAAGUAAGAAAUAAAGAUUUAUUAAAAAAUAAAACAGACUAAGAAACACAAAAACUUGCACUAGGCACAAAAGGCAAAACAAACUACUAGCAUGGGAGCUAGAGGAAAACAAAGGCAUAGCGCGAAAGCUAGCAAGUGAAAACAUGGGAAUCAGAGUCGUUAAUGUUGCGAAACACAAACUAGGAAGCGAGAAUGAAUGAACAUAAAAGGCAGGCUUAAAUGAGGACGGUGAUUAGCAAAAACAGGUGUGCGUCUGGAAACCGUGGCAGGUGAAAAAUAAUAAGCAACCAUGGUGACAGAACAAACAGGAACUAAGGAAGUCAAACACUAACAGAAUAUGAUACAAAAACGGAACAAACUAGAAUAUGGUAUGAUCCGGGCAGCGGAUCAUAACACUAAAUUUACAUCUGCUGUGACAACUAGAAACACACGAGUCUCCACCAGGGGGCAAUGUAGCGUGCCCAGAUGUAAAACCUCUUUUGCACAAUCAGCCUUUUCAUAUAAAGCCAUAAAGGACCUCACAACAAACUUGAAAAGUCUAACAGAUAACUCUUCAUUUACAAUCGAAGUUAAAAAGUGGCUUUGGAGCAAUCAAAGUUGCUCACACGGUCACUAAGGAGGCCACUAUGAUUGACAGCUCAACUUAAUGUUUAUUAUAUUUAUCCAUGACAGCAGUUUUGUUGUAAAUUGUGAAGUGUGUCUGUUAAAAUCAUGGUUGUUUCUACAAAUGAUGACAGACGUAUAUUAUGUAUAUUAAGUAUGUGUCAAUGAAAGGGCAUUUUAUGACUUUUCUUAAUUUAUGUGCUAUGCUUUGAUUUUAUUGUCAUAAUUUUAUUGCAUGAUUUUUGUAUCCCUUUAAUUUAGGUAGCCAGGGAUUGCAGAUGGAAAUCAGCUAUUUAGCUAUAAUCUGGUGUGUCCCCAAACUAGAUUUGGAGCCAAAGUCGUCUCCAUGGCAGCACUCUUUAUUUGACAUCUGUACUGUAGGGAUUUGACAGUCUAAUGCAACAUGGAGGCAUCUUCCACUCCUUUUAUUGUUUUUGGUCACGCUCUCUGCCAGAGAAACUGUUAAAAUGCACUUCUUUCACCUCCAAGGACCCGGUCACUGCAGUGCUGAGUGACAGAGCUUCAAACAGGACUUUGCCUGUCAAAUCUGGAAGCCCAAAAUUAAUCCGCGGGGAUUUCUUUUUACCAUGUUUCAUACACCUUUGUUGUGAUUGACUUGAAGCAGAAAAAUCCACCAUGAGUCACUUUCACUAAAGACUGAUCAGAUGCAAUAAAACAUAGGAACUGUAAUCUUCUCAAAGAACAUUUUUAUAGAAAGUAAGCUUGAUGUACUGAAGAGUAGUCAAGUUAUCAUGGACGCCCCUGCUUAUUUGUGUGACGCAUUAUGAAGCCUAAGAUACCACAACGGAGACCCUGGACUGUUGAACAACUUAAGCUGUACAUCAAGCAAGAAUGGGAAAUAAUUCCACCUAAAAAGCUUCAGAAAUGUGUCUCUUCAGUUCCCAAACGUUUACAGAGUGUUGUUAAAAGGAAAGGCCAUGUAACACAGUGGUAAAAAGGCCCCUGUGACAACUUUUUUGCAAUGUGUUGCUGCCAUUAAAUUGUAAGUUAAUGAUUAUUUCAAAAAAAUAAUUAAACAAGUUUCUCAGUUCAAACAUUAAA